rfam:Triticum aestivum genome assembly, contig: Triticum_aestivum_CS42_TGACv1_scaffold_146921_2BS
AAAAUACUCCCUCCGUCCGAAAAUACUUGUCAUCAAAAUGGACAAAAAGGGAUGUAUCUAGAAAUUAAAUAUAUUUAGAUACAUCCCCUUUUAUUCAUUUGGAUGACAAGUAUUUCUAGACGGAGGAGUACUAC